rnacentral:rRNA from 1 species
AGCAGCCGCGGUAAUUCCAGCUCCAAUAGCGUAUAUUAAAGUUGUUGCAGUUAAAAAGCUCGUAGUUGAAUUUCGGGAUCAGUACGCUGGUCAUGCCUUUGGUAUGCACUGGUGUCACUGGUUUCUCCCUUCUGAAGAACCGUGAUGUCAUUAAUUUGGUGUCGCGGGGAAUCAGGACUGUUACUUUAGAAAAAAUUAGAGUGUUUAAAGCAGGCUCACGCUUGAAUACAUUAGCAUGGAAUAAUGAAAUAGGACGUUUGACCCUAUUUUGUUGGUUUCUAGGAUCGACGUAAUGAUUAAUAGGGAUAGUUGGGGGCAUUAGUAUUCAAUUGUCAGAGGUGAAAUUCUUGGAUUUAUUGAAGACUAACUACUGCGAAAGCAUUUGCCAAGGAUGUUUUCAUUAAUCAAGAACGAAAGUUAGGGGAUCGAAGACGAUCAGAUACCGUCGUAGUCUUAACC